CCUACGGGAGGCAGCAGUGAGGAAUAUUGGUCAAUGGGCGCGAGCCUGAACCAGCCAAGUCGCGUGAGGGAAGACGGCCCUACGGGUUGUAAACCUCUUUUGCCGGGGAGCAACGGGCGCUAUGUGUGGCGCCACCGAGAGUACCCGGAGAAAAAGCAUCGGCUAACUCCGUGCCAGCAGCCGCGGUAAUACGGAGGAUGCGAGCGUUAUCCGGAUUUAUUGGGUUAAAAGGGUGGGUAGGCGGUGCGUUAAGUCAGUGGUCAAAUUGAGGGGCUCAACCCCUUCCCGCCAUUGAAACUGGCGCUCUUGAGUAGGAGAGAAGUAUGCGGAAUGCGUGGUGUAGCGGUAAAAUGCAUAGAGAUCACGCAGAACCCCGAUUGCGAAGGCAGCAUGCCGGCUUCCGACUGACGCUGAAGCGCGAAAGCGUGGGGAUCGAACAGGAUUAGAUACCCUAGUAGUC
rnacentral:rRNA from 1 species